GUGCCAGCAGCCGCGGUAAUACGUAGGGUGCGAGCGUUAAUCGGAAUUACUGGGCGUAAAGCGGGCGCAGACGGUUACUUAAGCAGGAUGUGAAAUCCCCGGGCUCAACCUGGGAACUGCGUUCUGAACUGGGUGACUAGAGUGUGUCAGAGGGAGGUAGAAUUCCACGUGUAGCAGUGAAAUGCGUAGAGAUGUGGAGGAAUACCGAUGGCGAAGGCAGCCUCCUGGGAUAACACUGACGUUCAUGCCC
rnacentral:rRNA from 1 species